rnacentral:rRNA from 1 species
ACGCUGGCGGUAGGCCUAACACAUGCAAGUCGAACGGCAGCACAGUAAGAGCUUGCUCUUAUGGGUGGCGAGUGGCGGACGGGUGAGGAAUACAUCGGAAUCUACCUUUUCGUGGGGGAUAACGUAGGGAAACUUACGCUAAUACCGCAUACGACCUUCGGGUGAAAGCAGGGGACCUUCGGGCCUUGCGCGGAUAGAUGAGCCGAUGUCGGAUUAGCUAGUUGGCGGGGUAAAGGCCCACCAAGGCGACGAUCCGUAGCUGUGCUGAGAGGAUGNGCAGCCACACUGGAACUGAGACACGGUCCAGACUCCUACGGGAGGCAGCAGUGGGGAAUAUUGGACAAUGGGCGCANGCCUGAUCCAGCCAUACCGCGUGGGUGAAGAAGGNCUUCGGGUUGUAAAGCCCUUUUGUUGGGAAAGAAAACAACGAUUAAUGCUCGGUUGUUCUGACGGUACCAAAGAAUAAACGGUACUUCUGCACACGC